rnacentral:lncRNA from 1 species
UUAAAAUCAAACAAAGUUUAAUUUUUGACCCCGAUUUGGACCAACUUGAAAACUGGGCCCAUGAUCAAAAAUCUAAUUACAUGUUUAGAUUCAGCAUAUCAAAGAACCCCAAGAAUUCAUUUUUUGUUAAAAUCAAACUAAGUUUAAUUUUGGACCCUUUGGACCUUAAUGUAGACCAAUUUGAAAACAGGACCAAAAAUUAAGAAUCUACAUACACAGUUAGAUUCGGCAUAUCAAAGAACCCCAAUUAUUCAAUUUUUGAUGAAAUCAAAGUUUAAUUUUGGACCCUUUGGGCCCCUAAUUCCUAAACUGUUGGGACCAAAACUCCCAAAAUCAAUCCCAACCUUCCUUUUAUGGUCAUAAACC